GACGAACGCUGGCGGCGUGCCUAAUACAUGCAAGUCGAACGCAGUGGGGACGGGUGAGUAACACGUGGGUAACCUCCCAUCAGAGGGGAUAACACUUGGAAACAGGUGCUAAACCGAUACUGACGGAUGGACCCGCGGUGCAUUAGCUAGUUGGUGAGGUAACGGCUCACCAAGGCCACGAUGGAUAGCCGACCUGGAAGGGUAGUAGGCCAAAGUGGGGCUGAAACACGGCCGGAACUCAAGCGGGAGGAAGCAGUAGGAAAGCUUCGGCAAUGGACGAAAGUCUGACCGAGCAGCGCCGCGUGAGUGAGGAGGGUUUUCGAAUCGAAAGACUCUGUUGUAAGGAAGGCGGUAUCGAACCAGAAAGGCACGGCUAACUACGUUCCAGCCGCCGCGGUAAUAC
rnacentral:rRNA from 1 species